UACGUAGGGUGCAAGCGUUGCCCGGAUUUAUUGGGCGUAAAGGGCGCGUAGGCGGCUCGGCACGUCCGUUGUGAAAUCGCCCGGCUCAACUGGGCGGGGUCAGCGGAUACGGUCGAGCUUGAGCAAGCUAGGGGGCAAUGGAAUUCCCGGUGUAGUGGUGGAAUGCGUAGAUAUCGGGAAGAACACCAGUGGCGAAAGCGGCUCUCUGGGGACCACCUGACGCUGAGGCGCGAAAGCGUGGGGAGCGAACCGG
rnacentral:rRNA from 1 species